UCAUAUUUUAAAUAUUCGAACACCUAAGCCUAUUACCUAAAACUAUUCUUUUCUGUCUUUCUCAUCUUGUUUACUCCACGCUUUCAGUAAAUACCUGACACCAUGUUCGUUAUGACAAGGAAGGCCACUGCCAAGGACAUGGAGGUGAAACUGAAGUUAGCCCUGGAAAAGCUCAAAACAUCCGAAGAGCUCUGUCAACAACUGUUAAGGGAACGUGAUGACAGCGAGGAAGAAAUUCAGAAAAUAAUUAGUAAAAACUCUGAAUUAAAGUCUCAACUUGCAGAAUUACACAUCCAAUAUAUGGAUGUGCUGGAUCAGCGGGAUAGGUUACAGGAUUUUAUAAACGCAGAUGGCAGCUCUGAAGUGGAACAAAAGUGCUUUAUUUUUUGUAUUUUUCGGUGUUUUAAAUUAAUAAUUGAUAAAAUAGAAUUGUAUAAUUGUAAAAUAAAUUAAUAAUAAUUAAAUUGUAAUAGACAGCUGUGUUGCUGGGAAGUUUGUUCUUCACCACUUCUUCUUUCCAGCCAUAACACUAGGAAGUGGUGAAAGGGGGGCGUUUUGGGGGUGCUGUCAUUGUAAAAUUUUGACGUUAAAAAGUGCUAAUCGUAUUAGCCUAUUUUAAUAAAUGAUUUUGACUUUGA